rnacentral:rRNA from 1 species
AGCGAACGCUGGCGGCAGGCCUAACACAUGCAAGUCGAACGGAUCCUUCGGGAUUAGUGGCGGACGGGUGAGUAACACGUGGGAACGUGCCCUUUGGUUCGGAACAACUCAGGGAAACUUGAGCUAAUACCGGAUGUGCCCUUCGGGGGAAAGAUUUAUCGCCAUUGGAGCGGCCCGCGUCUGAUUAGCUAGUUGGUGAGGUAACGGCCCACCAAGGCGACGAUCAGUAGCUGGUCUGAGAGGAUGAUCAGCCACACUGGGACUGAGACACGGCCCAGACUCCUACGGGAGGCAGCAGUGGGGAAUCUAGCGCAAUGGGCGAAAGCCUGACGCAGCCAUGCCGCGUGAAUGAUGAAGGUCUUAGGAUUGUAAAAUUCUUUCAGCGGGGACGAUAAUGACGGUACCCGCAGAAGAAGCUCCGGCUAACUUCGUG